CGCGGCUUGUGGGAUCUCAAUUCCUGCACCAGGGAUUGAACCCUGGCCACAGCAUUGAAAGCCUGGAAUCCUAACCACUAAGAGGUUAACCACUUCUAUUGGCAGACCAGCCAAUAGAGAAGGACUUGAAUCACCUAAGAGGAUAAAAUCUAAAUGGCCACUAGACAUGUGAAAAGAUGCUGACCUCCAUUACAUGUCAGGAAAAUAUUAAUUAAAAUCACAAAGAGAAAGCACUACACACACACCAGAAUGGCUGACAUGAAAAACCCACACAUCCUAAGCGCUGCCAAAGAUGUACCACACUCAGACUCGGAGGAGGUAAUUGAGGACACCCACUCUGGCAGCUGGUUGGCAGCGACUCCUAAAUUUAGCAUUCGAUGCUCUAUGAGCCAGCAAUUCCGCUCCUGGGUGGACACCCACAGAAACCUGUCACAUGUUCUCUGAAAGACAUGUCCCUGCAUGUUCACCUCAGUGCUAUGAAAAAAAAAAAGACUCUAGACCACCCAAAUGCCCACCCAUAGAAGGAUUGGUAAAAAAGAACGCACACAGUGAAACACUCAACAGCAACGAGAACAAAUGAACCACAGUGACAUACAAAAAGCUGAAUAAAUCUCACAGACAAUGUUGAGUGAGAGGCCACACGAGCAUACAUGCUGUGUGAUUCCAUUUAUAUAAAGUCCCCAAAGAGGCAAACUCAAUCCACAGGGUUACAAGUCAGGAUGGGGGUUACCCUUGGGAGGCAUAGUGACUAGAAAGGGGGCAUGGUAGGGUUUCUGGGGGGCUGGUUAUAUUCUGUUUCCUGUUCUUUCUGUGAGUUUAUCAAACUGUACACUUAGGAUUUGUACCCUUUGCUUUAGGUAUACUGUAAUCCAGUUAAAAGUUUUCAUAACCCAGGGCUUCCCUGGUGGUGCAGUGGUUAAGCAUCCGCCUGCCAACGCAGGGGACACGGGUUCAAGCCCUGGUCCGGGAAGAUCCCACAUGCUGCACAGCAACUAAGCCCGAGCGCCACAACUACUGAGCCUGUGCCCUAGAGCCCGUGCUCUGCAACAAAAGAAGCCACCACAAUGAGAAGCCCGCGCACCACAAUGAAGAAUAACCUCUGCUCGCCACAACUAGAGAAAGCCCACACGCAGCAACAAAGACCCGACGCAGCCAAAAAAAAAAAAAGUUUUCAUGACCCAAAUGAACGAGAGUUGUCCAGCCACCUUCCUGAUCUCUUCCAAGCGAGUUUUACUUGCAGCAUCUGGUGAGGCCCAGAGAAAUGCCACUGUCCGGUGCCAUGCCCUAGAUCACUCUGUUUCCUCCUUGUUGCCCAUGGGCAGCCAGACUUGGCCUUGGCCACCUAUCAGAUGAGCCUGAGACAUCUAACUUCAAGGUGUCAUGACUGCCUAUUUAACCCUCUUCCUGUUGGGAAAUUACACUGGCCCCUCCCAAAAGGAGCCCCAGUCUUAACGAUGUUCCCCAGGCUCCUCCCUGGGUGCAGGAAGCAGGGCCGUGAUGGAACCUUGAACUCUCUAUUUCUCCCUGAGGGUCUGUUAAAAAGCAAAAUGGAUUCAGAAUCCAGGACUGAGAAAGUCCAGGCCGCCACUCACAACGGGAGGGGGACGGGCACGGCUAUGGCCUGUGUUAAAGCGACUCAGACACGAUGACAGCACAUUCCUUUCUUUUUUAAAAUUUUCUAAUUUUCUAAAAUUUAUAUAUAUUGUUUGGCUGUGCUGCGGGGCCUGCGGGAUCUUAGUUUCCCAACCAGGGAUCGAACCCAUGCCCCCUGCAGUGGAAGCACGGAGUCUAAACCAAUGGACGGCCAGGGAAUUCCCCACACUCCUUUUUGUUUAAAAAAAACAAAAUUUGAUGAGCGGUUAAGAGAGUCUUUUAUAAUAUAAUUUUAUUAUAUGAUUUUUAACCACAAUUUAAAAAAAUAUAUUCAAAUUCCGGGCUUCCCUGGUGACACAGUGGUUGGGAGUCUGCCUGCCGGUGCAGGGGACACGGGUUCGAGCCCCGGUCCGGGAAGAUCCCACGUGCCGCGGAGCGGCUGGGCCCGUGAGCCACAACUGCUGAGCCUGCGCGUCUGGAGCCCGUGCUCCGCAACAAGAGAGCCCGCGACGGUGGGAGGCCCGCGCACCGCGAUGAGGAGUGGUCCCCGCCCACCGCAACUAGAGAAAGCCCUCGCACAGAAACGAAGACCCAACAUAGACAAAAUUAAAAAAAAAAAAAAUUCAAAUUCCAUAUGUCAAUUACCUCCAUAAAUCUAGAACUGUUUCUUAAAGGUAAAGGCUCAAAAGGGAAUCUCGGCCUGAAAUUGAGGAGGAUUUUAUGUCACAAUCUGUAAAUGAAGCUAUGCUUGCCAAGCGCAGUAGUUAAAACAAAACAAAGCAAAAAUGGUAAAAUUACUCAUGUUUGCUUCCCUAGCAGUGUCUUCUAUCCCCAGGCAUGCUUUUGCCAACUUACCAACACUUCUGAAAUAUUUCACUACUAAUAAAUCUCUUGAUUUGCAAAGGAAAAAAUUAAAAGAACGAAUGAGCUUUAUAUAUUUCAACACAGAAAAAUCUCCCAAACAUAACGAGAAGAAAUACAAGGUCCAAAAGAUACAAACAGCGUGAUAAAAACAAGAACGUGCACUCUGGACACACGUAUAUAUUCAGGAAAAGUAUAAAGUCUCACAUGGAAUAAUACUUGGCAACUUCAGGACAGAUGAAGGAGGAAGGAGUGAGAAAUGGGGUGAGGCUUUUUAGCUUUAGUCCCUAAAAAAGGGAAAAAAACUCAAAGCAAAUAGGGCAAAAUGUUAAUAUCUAUUAAUUCUAAGUGGUAGGUACGUGGGUGUUUGUUACAGUAUUUUCUCUAUGUCUGCAAUAUUUCACAAUUAAAAGUAAAAAAUCAGUUCAAAAAGAAUAACAAUUAUAUUUUUUGGCCAUUUGGGGAAAAAAGGAUUUUGAUGAAGGCACAGUGAUAGAAAUCACGUCAGUGCUUCCCUGAGGUCAGGUAUGGCGGGAGGGAUGGACUGCACAGGAACACAAGGCAAUUUGGGGGGUGAAGGAAAUAUUUUUAACUAUGGUGACGGUUUCAUGGCAAAUACCUGUGAUAAAACCCAUCAAAGUGAACCCUUAAAAUAAGUACAGUUUAUUGCAUGUAAGUCAUACCUCAGAACAAGUUGUUAAAUAAAAAGGAAUUUUAUAAGAUUAAGAAAGUGAGAAGGCAAGCCAUAGACUAGGAGAAAAUAUUUGCAAAUCAUAUAUCAGAUAAAGGACUUGUUGCAGAACAUAUAAAGAGCUCUUAAAACCCAACAAUAGCUGGGAAUUCCCUGGCAGUCCAGUAGUCAGGACUCGGUGCUUCCACUUCAGGGGGAUCCGGUUCAAUCCUUGGUCGGGGAACUAAGAUCCCCAAAAGCCACAUGGCACAGCGAAAAAAAAAGAAAAGUCAGCAGAGAAAUAACAGUCAAAGCCACAAUGAGAUUCCAUUUCACACCCACUAGAAUAACUGUAUUCAAAACAACGGCCAGUUGCACACACGUCCACAUCAGCGUUAUUCACAACAGCCAAAAAGUGGAAACAACCCCAAAGUUCAUCAAUUUGUGAAUGGAUAACAAAAUCUGGUGUAUUUAUACAGUGGAGUAUUAUUAAUACAUAAAAAGGAAUAAAGUACUGAUACAUGUUACGACAGGGAUGAAUCUUGAAAACAUUACGCGCAGCGAAGGAAGCCAGACACAGAAGGCCACGUAGUGUAUGAUUCUUUUAUAUGAAAUGUCCAGAAUAGGUAAAUUCAUAGAGACAGAAAGCAGAUUAGUGUUGGCCAGGGGCUGGGGGAGGGGAGAAUGGGGAGUGACUGCUAACGGACCUGAGGGAUCUUUUCAGUGAUGGAAAUGUUCUAAAAUGACUGUGAUAACAAUUGCACGACUAUGUAAGUUUACUAAAAAUAAAUUGUCCACUCAAGACAGGUGAAUUUUAUGGCAUGUAGACUAUACCUCAUAAAGCUGUUUAAACAAACAAACAAAAAGUAGAGUCUCUCCCACUGAAAUUGGCAAAUGCUGCUGUGCAAAUGCGCAGGCUUCUCAUUGCGGUGGCUUCUCUUGUUGCAGAGCACAGGCUCUAGGCACAUGGGCUUCAGUAGUUGUGGCACACGGGCUCUAGAGCGCAGGCUCAGUAGUUGUGGCGCAUGGGCUUAGUUGCUCCACGGCCUGCGGGAUCUUCCCAGACCAGGGCUCGAACCCGUGUCCCCUGCACUGGCAGGUGGCUUCUUAACCACUGCGCCACCAGGGAAGUCCCUGGACCUGAAAUCUUGAGCAAGGUAUCAAGGAUGCCAGGAGUGCCUAGGAGUCAUGCAGGAGGGAGGAUGGCAGGUGAAGGGCGGACGUGGGGUGGUGCUCUCAGUCCUCUGACCUCAGGAGUCCACCAGUGUCUCGUGCUCAUGGCAACCUGGGGUAGACGCCUUGCUGCCAAGUGUUGGCCCAACCAGGGA